AGCAGUAGCCGCGGUAAUACGGAGGGUGCAAGCGUUAAUCGGAAUUACUGGGCGUAAAGCGCACGCAGGCGGUUUGCUAAGUCAGAUGUGAAAUCCCCGAGCUUAACUUGGGAACUGCAUUUGAAACUGGCAAGCUAGAGUCUUGUAGAGGGGGGUAGAAUUCCAGGUGUAGCGGUGAAAUGCGUAGAGAUCUGGAGGAAUACCGGUGGCGAAGGCGGCCCCCUGGACAAAGACUGACGCUCAGGUGCGAAAGCGUGGGGAGCAAACAGGAUUAGAUACCCCGGUAGUCCCUGUCUCUUAUAC
rnacentral:rRNA from 1 species